rnacentral:misc_RNA from 1 species
AACUACUGAAACUGGAUUGACUAAGUAACGAAUCCCUAAGUCGUAUUUGAAUGCUCUUCCAUCGAGAGUUUACUUAAGACAAUACACGAUGGAAGCUCUCAAACUCGUACAAUCAAUUUCAAUAGCAUCGGGCUUGUGUAGAAGCGAGAUUAAAUGCCAACGUCCGAUUUGAUGCAGACCAAAGGGUCAACGAAGGGAAGUCAUCGAUGUUCCACCAAACUAUACCUGUCCCUCUAUUUGUGUGUACAGAUAAUGUGUGUCUGUAUGUACGUAUACGUAUAUGUACCGGCAGUAUCUAAUCGCUAAUUAAUGAUCAACCGGUUCGCGGAGACAAGUCGUUUCCAUCAUGUUUUAAGUGCACGUUGCGGCUCGUAAUUACACAAUUAAUCGAUCGCAGCGGGCUUCAUAACGUGACCUUGGUCUUAUUCCUCCUGAACGUGAACAACAUCUUCCGGCGUCGUUUUUUCGACUCGUCGUUGUCCGUGGUCGAGUUCGAGUCCGUCGAUAACGUCUCGUCGUCCACCAUUGACUGUUGUUGCGGUUCCUUCAGCGCUUUCCUGCUGCUGCUCGAUGUGCUCGUCGUUGUCGUGGAGUUGAUGCUGGUGGUACUCGCGGUCGUCGCGGACGUCGGACCAAUCUUUUGCUGCCCUGAUCGAUCUUGACUCGACGAAUCCAACGAAUUCUCCGAAUAAGACGACUUCGACAGGAAUGAUGAGGUAGUCUUGUCCUCGACGGAGAGAGGCAUGCUCGUAUCUUGACUGUAGGAACGCACGAUGUUGGGUUUCUCUUUGCUGGAUGCUCUGACGGGCUCGACGGGUCCAUCGCCGACGGUGAAAUGUACAACGUUACUCUCUGGUGGCGUAUCCUUCCCGGUUUCACUGCUGGACGAGUCUGGAGGAACCGACGACUCCUUCCACAUUAGGCUGUCUAGUGUACCUGUAGAUUAAGAUUGAACUUUGUUAUGCUUUGUAUGUAUCUGCGGUGGCUUUUCAUUUUAUGAUAGUCUUUUAUUUCUGCAGGGGAUUUUAGUACGAGUGAUUGAUACAUUAGAAUCACAGAUUCUUGAAGAUUAUAAGAAUUUGUUUGAAAAUAUGUAAGGUUUUAGGGAUCUAUUUGCUCGGUAUUGGAAUUGGGUUCAUCAAAGUUGAUGAAGAAUGGAUGGACUAACCUGAAAGUGUAUUUGAAUCUUUAGUAAGACUGAUUGGAAAUUGGAAUAGAACUAAUUGUUAUAUGUAUGAACAGAUUAACGUUAAUGUAGGUCGGGAACCAAAGAAACUGAGAUUUUCUUGGAAAAAUGUGUUCCAAUAUCAGUUUCUUUGGUACAUGAGGGAUAUUGAUUUACUGAUACCAUUGGUCUUUCGAUGAAGAUAUGUUGAAAUAACUGUAGAUACUAUUUUUAUUCGGCCAAUUGUAAUUUUCAUGCACUAAUUAGUUAGAACUGCUUUCGGCAAACAGUGUCAGAGGUUAGUUCCAUGCAGAAUCCAGUUUGUGGAAGGAAGAAGAGAAACAAACAACACAAUGGAUGAUACUCUUUUAUAUUCCACAGUAAAUAAUAUAAAUUUUGUCGCGAUACUUUACUGUCUCGCAAACAUUAGUAGAAUAACGAGGAAAUCGUUAUUUAAAAAGCGCAAUGCAUGAAAAUUCAGGAUCUAUGCG